CUACGGAGGGGGCUAGCGUUGUUCGGAAUUACUGGGCGUAAAGCGUACGUAGGCGGACUGAUCAGUUGGGGGUGAAAUCCCAGGGCUUAACCCUGGAACUGCCUUCAAUACUGUCAGUCUUGAGAUUGGAAGAGGUGAGUGGAAUUCCUAGUGUAGAGGUGAAAUUCAUAGAUAUUAGGAGGAACACCAGUGGCGAAGGCGGCUCACUGGUCCAAUACUGACGCUGAGGUACGAAAGCGUGGGGAGCAAACAGGAUUAGAUACCCCAGUAGUCC
rnacentral:rRNA from 1 species